rnacentral:lncRNA from 1 species
AGGAAAAUAAAUGGCGUCGCCCGAAAAUAUAUAAUAUUUCAAAUAAAAAGGAAAAAUAAUCAUGAUAGAGUGUCCAAGGAAUGUCAGUAUCCGACCCAUAUUAGAUACGGCCAUGGACUCGCCGCCCACAUUGAAGUAUCCAUGUUAAAAAGUUCACAAGUGAGGCUCCAAAAGCCCAUCACUGACUCACUUCUCAAAUAAUGUCAUAUG